UACGUAGGCAGCAAGCGUUGUUCGGAAUUACUGGGCGUAAAGAGUGUGUAGGUGGUGUCGUAAGUUUGGUGUGAAAUCUCCCGGCUUAACUGGGAGGGUGCGCCGAAGACUGCGAUGCUGGAGUAUGGGAGAGGAAAGCGGAAUUCCUGGUGUAGCGGUGAAAUGCGUAGAUAUCAGGAGGAACACCUGCGGUGUAGACGGCUUUCUGGACCAUUACUGACACUGAGACACGAAAGCUAGGGGAGCGAAUGGG
rnacentral:rRNA from 1 species